rnacentral:misc_RNA from 1 species
AAGAGAUUAAACUGGUGCUUAGGGUUCAUGGUGUUGUGCGUAGUUGUUUUGGAUUGAAUUAUGAGUUUAUAACACUAUUUUGAUCUAUUAUUUGAGAGGGUUAACAUAUUACCAUGGGGGAAUCGGAGGAGAGAAUCUAAAUUUAGUUGGCAACGAUUGCAUAGGUUGGUUACUUUGAAGAAUGAUCAAAGGAGUGGAAACUAGCUUUGUUGUCAAACAUGGCAAAGAAAGCUUGUGGAGGAUUUAUCUUGGGAAUUAUAAUGCAACAAAUGGUACAUAAAUGCAUUUGAGGACAAGGGUUAAAAUUAGCAGUUUCUUUUGUCGCAGCCUUUUUAAUAGGUUAUAUUAAGGACUUG